AUUGAACGCUGGCGGCAUGCCUUACACAUGCAAGUCGAACGGCAGCACGGGUGCUUGCACCUGGUGGCGAGUGGCGAACGGGUGAGUAAUACAUCGGAACGUACCUUAUCGUGGGGGAUAACGCAGCGAAAGCUGUGCUAAUACCGCAUACGCCCUGAGGGGGAAAGCGGGGGAUCGAAAGACCUCGCGCGAUUAGAGCGGCCGAUGCCUGAUUAGCUUGUUGGUGGGGUAAAAGCCCACCAAGGCGACGAUCAGUAGCUGGUCUGAGAGGACGAUCAGCCCCACUGGGACUGAGACACGGCCCAGACUCCUACGGGAGGCAGCAGUGGGGAAUUUUGGACAAUGGGGGCAACCCUGAUCCAGCAAUGCCGCGUGAGUGAAAAAGGCCUUCGGGUUGUAAAGCUCUUUUGUCAGGGAAGAAACACCGGCUCUAACGCAGUCCGGGAAUGACGGUACCUGAAGAAUAAGCACCGGCUAACUACGUGCCAGCCGCCGCGGUAA
rnacentral:rRNA from 1 species